ACUGGUGAAGAAAGGGCCGGGCAAGACCGGUGCCAGCCGCCGCGGUAAUACCGGCGGCUCGAGUGGUGGCCACUAUUACUGGGCUUAAAGCGUCCGUAGCUGGAUUGUUAAGUCUCUUGGGAAAUCCACCGGCUCAACCGAUGGGCGUUCAGGAGAAACUGGCAAUCUAGGGACCGGGAGAGGUGAGAGGUACUCCAGGGGUAGGAGUGAAAUCCUGUAAUCCUUGGGGGACCACCUGUGGCGAAGGCGUCUCACUAGAACGGCUCCGACAGUGAGGGACGAAAGCUGGGGGAGCAAACCGGAUUAGAUACCCGGGUAGUCCCAGCUGUAAACGAUGCGCGUUAGGUGUAUCGGUGACCACGAGUCAUCGAGGUGCCGAAGGGAAACCGUGAAACGU
rnacentral:rRNA from 1 species